rnacentral:rRNA from 1 species
GACGAACGCUGGCGGCGUGCUUAACACAUGCAAGUCGAACGAAGAGCGAUGGAAGCUUGCUUCUAUCAAUCUUAGUGGCGAACGGGUGAGUAACGCGUAAUCAACCUGCCCUUCAGAGGGGGACAACAGUUGGAAACGACUGCUAAUACCGCAUACGAUCUAAUCUCGGCAUCGAGGAUAGAUGAAAGGUGGCCUCUACAUGUAAGCUAUCACUGAAGGAGGGGAUUGCGUCUGAUUAGCUAGUUGGAGGGGUAACGGCCCACCAAGGCGAUGAUCAGUAGCCGGUCUGAGAGGAUGAACGGCCACAUUGGGACUGAGGCACGGCCCAGACUCCUACGGGAGGCAGCAGUGGGGAAUCUUCCGCAAUGGACGAAAGUCUGACGGAGCAACGCCGCGUGAGUGAUGACGGCCUUCGGGUUGUAAAGCUCUGUUAAUCGGGACGAAAGGCCUUCUUGCGAAUAGGGAGAAGGAUUGACGGUACCGGAAUAGAAAGCCACGGCUAACUACGUG